UCACAGACAGAGUUCCUUAGGAUCGGGGU
rnacentral:piRNA from 1 species